UAAUAUGUUGGAGACCGAUAAAGCAGUGCUCACUUUUUAAUCUUCAUUUCUUCAAGCGGCAGCUCACGCAGUAUUUUAAUCAAACACUGUAUUCUCUCUUCCCGUUUUAAUUCCGAUGUCAGAAAACGAAAGCCCUUCUUCUCCAGUUCCAACCCAAGACUUGGCCGCGAACCCGAUUCCGUUCGACCCUAAUAAUGAUAUAGGAGACGUAAUCCUACCCGACCCGCUGCUAGAUUCUGGCUCUUUCAUUGACGCCGGCCAAAAUGAGGCUGAACCGGUGACGCCGCCAAACGAGCAGCAUCAACCAACUUCCGAGGAUGAGCAAGGAUCGGGCUCUGGCAUUGCUGCGGAGCCGAUUUCGGUGGCUGCCCCUGCUGAUGGCUCGGCUGGGUCGACUAGGCCGCCCAUGAAGAGAAACCUGGAGGAGAUGUCAAAAAGGCCGAGCUGGUUGCCCGAGACCUGGACGAUAGACUUGAGGGUCCGCUCCUCUGGAGCCACCGCUGGAAGCAUCGAUCGGUAUUACAGAGAUCCAUCAGGAAAGAAAUUCCGUUCAAAGAACGAAGUGAUGCACUUUUUGGAAACGGGAAAUAAGAUAAAGAGAAAGCCAAAUGAUGGAGAAGCUACCCCUUCUAAGAGUCCUGAGAGCAAAAAACCUAAAAAGUCAGCCUCCAAACGCAAGAAGUCUGAGGCAUUGAAGUUUGACUUCGAGAAUCCGCCAAGUGCUGUCAGCUGGAUCUGCACAAAUGCUCCUGAAGAGACAUGGACUGCCAAGGUUGACAAUAAACGGGUGGCUGAAUCUCGCCAACGCGAGUGGGCUACUGCAUUUCAACAUGUCACUCAAUCGAAAGCAAAUGAACGGUCUUCUAACUGAAGGCAAUUUUGUUCUGAUUUGCCAUAUGAUGGGGACUGGGCCUGGAACUUAUGGUUGAACAAAAUCAAGGCAAAAGAAAACCUCUAUCGAUGCACCAAUUUAUGAGCUAUUAGUAUGAUUGGGUUGUUUAAGUACUCUUGUUCCCUAUAAUGUUUGGAGAUGUGAUCACUAUGUUUACAAAAUAACUGAAUAAAAUUUUAGUAUUACAAGGUUAUGUUGUCCAUUAGGACUGAGUAAACUGCUUUGCAAUGAGUGAUGGUUCUGUAUUUUAUGUGAAUUAUGCAACUAUGUUAAAGUUCAAUAUCAAAUAGACUGGUAAUAAGUACCGGUGAAAUUAAAUAA